UUUCUUUUCCAGAAGAGAUUAUCGCGAGAGAACCCCAAGAUGGCUAGAAAAAUUAUGCAUAUAAUUCUAGAUCAUCAUAAGAUAAAGACGAAGCUUCAUAGAGAGUUAUCGACAGCGGUCAAGGAGAGGAGUGUAGUGGAACAAAGGGAUGGCCCCGUGGAUGCUUUCUUUAAGUUAAAGG